CAUGAUAUGAGUGUGUUGGGAGACUAUCCUUCAAGGGCAGAGGGGGAUGGAAUGGGGAUUUAGUCCUGAUCCUCCCAGCUUCAGAUAGAGUCCACUGACAGAUGGCUAAGAGUUAACUGGGGAUAAACGGGAGCGCCAGUUGCCAGGGAGUCAGGAUAGCUGAGUUCUUGUUCCAGUUCCGCUGCUGAUUGCUCUGUGACCUCAGGCCUCUUUCUCUCGCCUGUGAGGCUGGUUGCAGCUUUAGUUUCCUUGUCCGUAAAAUGAGGACUAGACUCGGUAUUUUGAAAGUAUGGACACAGAGAUCUCCCAUCCUCCAAGGGUAAGCUCGGGCUACAGUGUAUGGACGCGAGUGGAGAUAGGAGGAUGGCCCAGCAGGUGGAACCGCAGCCAGCACCCCUCCUUGCCCACUGCUGUCCUGCCUCAGGUGACUAGUCUCUACUAGACACUUACCUAGGAUUUCAUCCCGAACAGAGAAAUCGAAGACCAACACAAGUGUGAAAACCACUGUGAUUUGUGGUCCUGUAGGGGCUUGUCUCAGCUUGGUUCCGGUAGAGAUUAUAAUCGAAUAUUGUAAGAGUGUAUACUUCUUUUCUGUGUUUAAAGACUGUCACCUCUCUCUCUCUCUCUCUCUCUCUCUCUCUCUCUCCCUCCUUCUCGGUCUCUCUUUGUUUUUGGCUCAGAGCUGGAAGAUGGGAGGAAGAACACUAACAAUUCCCAAGUGCCUGUCUCUGGGUUAGGCUUUUCAUGUUCCUUAAACCUCACGGUGACCUUUUAAAAUGGAUAUUAUUGUUGCAUUUUGGAGAUUAGGAAACUGAGGCUCAGAGAGAUUAAGUAAUUUGCCCAAAGUGAUAAAACUCAGGCAAGGGAGAAAUUUUGGUCAAUAAACCUUUGAACCUAAGAAUUUCUUUGCUUUCCACAGAGGCGGAAUCAAGAUUAUAAUCAUGCAGGCCAGCUUUGUACAUAUUUAAGCGGGCUUUUAAAAUAACCUAUUGAAUCAAUAUAAAAUUAUGGGGGUCACUGUUUGUGAUAUUAAUACGUUACAGCACCUAACAGUUUACAAAGCUCUUUUACAUUCAAUAAGAAAGUAUCACUCUCUUAUCUCACCUUUGAAAGGAACCUCGGCAGUAUGGCCUUUGAUGGAACAAUCCAGUGUGUGCUGUUGGGUGUACAUGUGUUUGUUUACAUAUCGUUAGCUACUCGAAAGAGAAGUGGAGGAGUAGAAAGCAAAGAUGAAACCUGCUCAUGGGUCUCAAAAUUAUUCAGGCGCUGGAGCUUCUGUCUUUCGGAACACAGGUCAAUGAACUCAAGACUUAACUAAGAAUUUAGGGGAGGAAAGACUGCCGGUUCUUUAUUUCAGCAGGAGACCCGUAGUCUGACUUGCAUGCCAGGGGAGCGCAGGAGAACAGGGCAGUGGGGCUUGUUUUCCACACCCUUUAGGAACACACCUACUGUAAUGUGAGGUGCACCUGUAUCUGAGCCUGGGCCGCUGUGCUCCUCUGGAGGGAAAUAGCAGAAAAAGCCCCCUCGUUCCCCCCCCCCCCCCCCGGGGUUCUCAGGCAGGACCGCUCUGUGGAUUCCAGGAGGCCCUGCCCACAGCAGUGGUGGAGAGCGUCCACUCACAUCUCACAGGGCUGAUUCUCUACAGCAGGUACUCACCCGGCCCGGGGCAUUGGGGACGGCGCAGCAGGAGAAGGUGACUUGGCGUCCCAGGCCCCGCUGUUACGACCUGCACAAACAUACACACAGGCCUUUUUGCCCGUUGCACAGACAGAUUGAGACAAGUAACAAGCUACUGCCUAAUCGCAUCUUCCAGAGUCACAGAAGGGACCCGGCGGGCCUCGACUGCUGCACCGCACUGCCCUCCCGCUACCUAAGGCAGGGGGCAGACGGUCAUGAGGGAGGAACGGAGACAGGCAGAGCUUCACCACCAGGACAGAGCAGGCCAGGAGGGAGAGAGCCAGACACCAAGCCAGCUCCCCUCCGCGUCUCCCGGCUGCCUUCUCUCAGGCUGAUGCUCACCUGCCUGGGCGUCACGGCCCAGUGAGACAAAAGCGCUUUAUUGACUUAAAGUGAACCGAAUACGCAUUUUGUUAAGAAAUGACUACAUUUCUAAGCCCACAGUUCCUACUGGACCUACAGGGGAUGCUCUGGAAAUAUAGGUAGGACCUGCCCUCAGUAUGUAUUAUUUUAGUUUGCGAGAUAAAGCACGUUAUCGGUGAGUGCUGAGGCAGUAAUCGCCUACUGAGAAUUACUGAGAACCUGGUACGUGAAGAGCACUGUGUCAGGGGUUGUGGAAGAGGUGAAGAUGCAGAGAUAGGCCUCUGCCCCCUCGGAAUUUGCAACAUGAGGACAUACGCCCGCCAUGCCGCUUCACCUCACAGGACCACCUACGCCAAACACAAAAAAGAAAAAGGCCUCCACAGGCAUGAAAAAUAGAGAUCAUAAAGCUCAUUCUCAUGUACUUUAGAGAGAGAGAGAGAGAGGCCUUCAGGCUUUCGUUUAGAGCCCAUCCACUCCUUUUCUACACACAGUCCUUACACAGAACUAGUUUCCACGAAUGCCCGGAACGGCCCUCCACACGACUCUCACUUACAUGUUAACCCAAUCUUGAUGUGACUUUUAAGAACUUUUGCAAAAGAGACUAUGUUCAGAAUUUUUACCAUUUCAUAUGACAAUAAACUGAGAUGCCAUCUGAAUAUGAA